UGUUUCAGCUCUCUUUCAGAAUCGUGUAUUGAAACUGUAUUCAACUGAAGAAAUGAUGGGCUCCUUGGGUGAAGAUCUCUGUUGUGCUGUAGUACCACAGUUUCUUUGCAAGCCCUUGUAGUGCAGCCUUGCAAAACCAGUUGUGGAGCUCCAAGUGGACUCAUCACCCAGUUCUUGUCUACUUGCUUCAGAAAACUUGACACUCUUUGACACCCAUUAAGGCUCUGAAUGGAAGGUUGUUGUUUAUUUUGCAGCAUGAUGCUGUUAGCUGGGCAUCUGGCAACUCUUGUGCCAAAAUAACAGAAACCAAUGAUUCUUAAUAGCUCACCUGAUCUAAUCUGUACUGACCAGUCUUUCAGGCAGAGACAUGCACAUGGAGCACAACGCAGUCUUGCAAGUCCUGCUGCAUACUAUUGUUGCCUCAGGAAAGCUGCUCCUUCAGCCUCCUGCAGGACCACAACAGGCAAAACAAAACACAACCCCUCAGUUGUAGUUGGACUCUUCUGCGGAGAGGACAUGGUGCUGUAAACUGAUUUCUUUGGGAUGAACUCUGCCUUCCUUCCCCCCACCUCUGGAUUAAAAUAGAGCAGUUUGAUAGCACAGCAGCAAAUUCACAUUAAUAUCAAACAGAAUUUCCACUACCGUUUUCAUAUUAACAUGAGAUGCCAGAAUGUAAAGUUAGCUAGAUCUGCACAUGGGACCAUUCUUGCUGUUAAAGGCUUUAGGCUGGAACGGAGCCCAAAAUUUUUAAAAGAAAUGAAACAUUUCCAGAUCAAAUAUUAAUUACAUGCUAUAUAGAAUCAUAUUUUUCAAACAAAUUUUAUAAAUAAAAAGCUAGGCCUUUCAAACCA
rnacentral:lncRNA from 1 species